rnacentral:rRNA from 1 species
GAUGAACGCUGGCGGCGUGCCUAAUACAUGCAAGUCGAGCGAACAGACGAGGAGCUUGCUCCUUUGACGUUAGCGGCGGACGGGUGAGUAACACGUGGGUAACCUACCUAUAAGACUGGGAUAACUUCGGGAAACCGGAGCUAAUACCGGAUAAUAUUUCGAACCGCAUGGUUCGAUAGUGAAAGAUGGCUUUGCUAUCACUUAUAGAUGGACCUGCGCCGUAUUAGCUAGUUGGUAAGGUAACGGCUUACCAAGGCAACGAUACGUAGCCGACCUGAGAGGGUGAUCGGCCACAUUGGAACUGAGACACGGUCCAGACUCCUACGGGAGGCAGCAGUAGGGAAUCUUCCGCAAUGGGCGAAAGCCUGACGGAGCAACGCCGCGUGAGUGAUGAAGGUCUUCGGAUCGUAAAACUCUGUUAUUAGGGAAGAACAAACGUGUAAGUAACUGUGCACGUCUUGACGGUACCUAAUCAGAAAGCCACGGCUAACUACGUG